GAAGGAUGUCUUAGGUCCUUCGGUCUCGUCGUGUUAAUAGCUGUACUUUUGGCCGAGUGCGGUGGUUAGUGAAUC
ncrna:unclassified sequences L13-Bacteroidia ribosomal protein leader